rnacentral:rRNA from 1 species
AAAACAUAGCUAUAAGAUAUAUUAAUAGUGGGACCUGGUCAGUGGUUUAAACACACGCCUUAGCGUGAGGGUGAUAAUGUAGCAUAAUAAUUUGGCAUUUAAUUUGUGUCUUGAAUGAAUGGUGAAACCAUUUUAAAUUUGUCUCAUUUUUAAAACUAUUUAAUUUAAAAUAAUAGUUAAGAUACUAUUUAAAUCUUGUUAGACGAAAAGACCCUAUAAACCUUUACUUAAAUAGUUCAUUAAUGAACUAUUAUAAGUUUAGCUGGGGCGGCUUACUUCUAAAAAUAACGAAGUGUUAAAUAAAAUAAACAAAGAUGUUUAUUCAAUAAAAUUAUACAUAACUGUAAAGUGAUAUAUGACCACUUUUAACUAAUCUAUUUAGAAGAAUUAAUAAAUAAAAGGUACUUUAGGGAUAACAGCGUAAUUUUUUGAUAAAGUUCACAUUAAACUUAAAGUUUGCGACCUCGAUGUUGAAUUAAGAUAUCCUUAAGGAGUAUAAAUUUUGAAGGGUUGGAUUGUUCAUCCAUUAAAAUCUUACAUGAUU